AUGGGCUGCAUGAUUCUCUUGGAAAGAACACUGUACUCUUUAUACGAAAUCACCUCCAGGCACUUUUCACAUUUCCACGAAAAUAGCCAGCCAAAGAAAGACAAGAGAAUAUGGACUUAUUUGGGAAGAUGGAUGACAUAUUAUACAAUUUUAUGAAUUCCUCAAAAAGGUUAAACAUCCACUAUGUGCCAUGGACUAUGUUAAGUGGUAAGUGUAGGGCAGCUGUUACAGACUUCAUUACUGUUCACUAAUUCAUCUUCCUUUCCCUGUCAUGGAGGAGAGUAUACUUCACCAUUCUAUUGAUUUUGCACUUGUCCCUGUGAUUGCUUUGACCAAUGAAAUGAGGGCGGGAACAACUGUGUGACCAUUCUUAAAUAAGGCUUAGGAAUCCACCAUCCAUUUAUUUCCUCUUGCUUUAUUGCUUUUUAAAACAUUUUUAAUGUUUAAUUAAUUAAUUAAUUAAUUAAUUAAUUAAUUUUGAGAGAGACAGAGCAUGAGCAGGGGAGGGUCAGAGAGAGAGAGGGAGACAUGGAGUCCCAAGCAGGCUCCAGGCUCUGAACUGUUAGCACACAGCCUGACAGGGGGCUUGAACUCACAGGACAGUAGAUCAUGACCUGAGCUUCAGUCAGACGCUUAACCAACUGAGCCACCCAGGCACCUCUCUUCUUGCAUUAUUGUCAUUUUCCAUUAAACUAUACUGCAUGAUGUCAGUGUUUCUUCAGCCUUGGUUCCAGAAUGAGCAAUAUGUGGAGCAGAUACAAACUUAUGCAGCCUAGAGUUAUGCUUAGCUAAGCCCAGCUGGGUCCAGUUGGGUCAAGCUGUAGUCAACACAAAAUGGGGAAGAAGAAAUAGAUUUGUUUUUUUAAGACUCUAGGUUUGGUUGGUUGUUAAUGCGUCAAAAGUUAAUGCAGCAGUGAAUAAGAUACCGUGUCUAGUGGAGAAGAAAGACAUUAAAUAGGUAGUUACAAAUGUUCUUUGUAUUUUGAGGAAAUGGAGUGUUUCCACAAGUAUGUAUAGCAGGUUAUUACAUUAUUCUGGGGGAAGAGAAAAAUCUGGGUUG
rnacentral:lncRNA from 1 species